rnacentral:rRNA from 1 species
UCCGUCGUCAAAAGGGAAACAGCCCUAACCUACAGCUAAGGUCCCCAAGUCAUAUCUAAGUGGGAAAGCAUGUGGGAAUCCCAAAACAACCAGGAGGUUGGCUUAGAAGCAGCCAUCCUUUAAAGAAAGCGUAACAGCUCACUGGUCAAGCGAACCUGCGCGGAAAAUGUAACGGGGCUCAAGCCAGUCGCCGAAGGUAUGGGUGUGCACUCUGUGCACGCGGUAGCGGAGCGUUCCGUAAGCCGAUGAAGGUGAGGCGUGAGCCUUGCUGGAGGUAUCGGAAGUGAGAAUGCUGACAUGAGUAGCGAU